GAUGAACGCUAGCGGGAGGCUUAACACAUGCAAGUCGAGGGGCAGCAUAGGGUAGCAAUACUCUGAUGGCGACCGGCAAACGGGUGAGUAACGCGUAUGCAACCUACCCUGUACAGGGGGAUAACCCGGAGAAAUUCGGACUAAUAUCCCGUAAUAAUAUCCGGAGGCAUCUUUGGAUAUUUAAAGUUCCGACGGUACGGGAUGGGCAUGCGUAACAUUAGCUGGUUGGUAAGGUAACGGCUUACCAAGGCUAUGAUGUUUAGGGGUCCUGAGAGGGUGGUCCCCCACACUGGUACUGAGACACGGACCAGACUCCUACGGGAGGCAGCAGUGAGGAAUAUUGGUCAAUGGGCGCAAGCCUGAACCAGCCAUCCCGCGUGCAGGAAGACGGCCCUAUGGGUUGUAAACUGCUUUUCCAGGGAGAGAAACUUACGCACGUGUUGCGUGACUGACGGUACCCUGGGAAUAAGCAUCGGCUAACUCCGUGCCAGCAGCCGCGGUAAUACGUAG
rnacentral:rRNA from 1 species